GAGUUUGAUCAUGGCUCAGGAUGAACGCUGGCGGCGUGCUUAACACAUGCAAGUCGAACGGGCGAAUUAUAUCGGAGGUCUUCGGGCCGAAGAGAUAAUAAGCUAGUGGCGGACGGGUGCGUAACGUGUGGGUAAUCUGCCUUUGUCAUAGGAAUAACUGCUUGAAAAAGUAGCUAAUACCAAAUAACAUAUCGUAUAGGCAUCUAUAAGAUAUCAAAGAGAAAUCGGACAAAGAUGAGCCCGCAUCUGAUUAGCUGGUUGGUAGGGUAAAAGCCUACCAAGGCGACGAUCAGUAGCCGGCCUGAGAGGGUGAACGGCCACAUUGGAACUGAGACACGGUCCAAACUCCUACGGGAGGCAGCAGUGGGGAAUAUUGCACAAUGGGGGGAACCCUGAUGCAGCAACGCCGCGUGAGUGAAGAAGGCUUUCGAGUCGUAAAACUCUGUUGUAAGGGAAGAUAAGGGACGGACCUAAAAGAAG
rnacentral:rRNA from 1 species